AGUCAUAUGCUUGUCUCAAAGACUAAGCCAUGCAUGUCUAAGUAUAAAUGAUAUACAGUGAAACUGCGAAUGGCUCAUUAAAACAGUUAUAGUUUAUUUGGUAAUCGAAUUUACAUGGAUAACCGUGGUAAUUCUAGAGCUAAUACAUGCUGUAAAGCCCGACUUCACGGAAGGGCCGUAUUUAUUAGAUAACAGACCAAUAUUCCUCGUGUCUAUUGUGGUGAAUCAUAGUAACUAAUCGGAUCGCAUGGGCUAGUCCCGCGACAAACCAUUCAAGUUUCUGCCCCAUCAGCUUUCGAUGGUAGUGUAUUGGACUACCAUGGCUUUUACGGGUAACGGAGGAUUAGGGUUCGAUUCCGGAGAGGGAGCCUGAGAAACGGCUACCACAUCUAAGGAAGGCAGCAGGCGCGUAAAUUACCCAAUUCUAAUUCAGAGAGGUAGUGACAAGAAAUAACGGGUCGGGGCUAUGCCCCGGGACUGCAAUGAGAUGAAUUUACACCCCUUUUCGAGUAACAAU
rnacentral:rRNA from 1 species